UCACAUAUUGGCAUUGCUGGGAUUGGU
rnacentral:piRNA from 1 species